CAAUUAUUUUCUAUAGAAAUUAAAUUCCCAUUUUCGAUCACGUGACGCCCUUUUCUCGCUUUUGCGGGAAAUGAUUUUCCUUGCGGGGGGCUUGUUUUCCAUUUCCAGGGAAUUGAAUCACCGCGCGCACAGCACAGUUCACAUCGAUUUCUCUAGGGUUUCCUCUCCCAUUCGAGUCGACUUCGUCCCCUUCCUCCUCGUCGCCAUCCACCACCGAAGUCGAGCCCUUACUUGGGCUUCGUCGCCAUCUCCGACUUCCUGUGAGUCGCCAUCCACCGUCGAAGAAGACCAUCACCGACUUCAUGUGACUCGCCAUCCACCGCCAUCGAUCUUCGACUUGGGCUUCGUCGUCAUCUCCACAAAAGACCAGCUCUGAAUUCGUUUUCAUCGCUAUCUCCGCAGAAGGCCAUCUUCGAUUUCGAGUUUCACACCACCAGUGCAUCUUCAUCUUUUUCCACGUGAGCGAUCUUGGUCUUCAACCAUCGAUCUGGAGUCUUCGUCCACUGGAAGCGAUCUUGUUCUCUGUUUCAGCGAGUGAUCUUGGUUUCUAUUUCAGCGAGCGAUAUUUGUGUUCGCCAUCUCCGCCAAAGUCGACCUCCGAUUCCGACUUGCAGACCGCCGUUCAUCCUCGUUGCCAUCUUCGUCCACGGUUGAGAAAGUGUGUUUCACAUAGCUGAUACAUGGAGUUUCUGAAAAAAUGGACAAGUCACUGGCUGCAGAAACGAAUAGUGCAAGGAGCUGUUGGCUACUUGAAGGGCACUGUUGAAUUAAUUUGAUCAAGAAAGUGCAGUGACAGCCGAUUGGAUUGGAUUGGAUGACUGAUGAUGCUUACCUACUACUCCCCUUGGCAUGAAAUUGGAUCAAGAAUUGUACUCUAUUUAUGCUUUUUGCUCAUAUAUUGGGCUGAAUUUCUUCCUUCAAUUUCUUACCUAAAGUGAGUUUUUAGUUAGAUUGGGUUUAAGUGAGAGAGUAGUAGUAGUUGUUAGUUGGCGUUUGAAUCAUGUAUAUGCAGUCAUCUACAUAUUUUUUUAUUGACGGUAGAUUUGGUGGAAGUGGUAGAUAUAUUGAUAAUUGCAUAUUUUUUAUAUUGAUGUAUUUUUUACAGAUUUGGUUUGGGUUUGGAAUAGGAAUUGCAAUGGGACUUGUGAUUGGUUAUUAUCUGUUUAUCUAUUUCCAACCAAGUAAU